rnacentral:tRNA from 1 species
GGGAAUGUGGCUUAGUGGUAGAGUACUUGCUUUGUAUGCAUGAAGCCCUGGGUUUGAUUCCUCAGUCCUA